rnacentral:lncRNA from 1 species
GGGAACUCUCACUCACCAGAAAGGGAGACUGAUCAAAAAGGAACAGUGAAGGAAAGACAAGACAGGAGGGAAGAACUUCGUUGGUGUACGGCAACAAAUGACCCCUAAGGAAAAUUAGAAAGACGCUGCUGAGCUGGGUCAACCUCAGGGCGGUGGGGAGGAGAUAGAACAUCAAACGCAGCAGCUAAGCUUUUCAAAGUUCAUAUCACCAAAGGAGGCUAGAGGAUUCUAUCUGGUCUUUUACAAAACCUUUCCCUCUUUAUAAUCUAUUUAGAUAAAUCUCUCAGCUACCCAGAAGGCCAAUGCUGGUUAGGUGGUAAGUGGAUCUUUUGCUGUUGAUGUUGGUAGAACUCUGACCACAGAGAGGCAUAUGAGAGAGAGAGCUAGCUUAUAGCCAGACAGUUAUGCCUGGUGGUUUUCAACACAAUUCAUUCUAUUCCCUCACUUGAAAUUUGUACCCUUUCCUCACUAAUGAAGUGUCAAUUUGCUAUAACUUAUGAUUAAACUGCCUAAUAUCUGCCCCACGCUACUUAAGCCCAUCGCUAUUAUCAUGACAAAAUUAUGUUAUUUCAGCUACAAUUAAUUUGAUUCAGACACCCUUUCAUUUAAGAAAGAUUCAGGGAGUUCAAAUUAAGCAGGAAUUGAAUUAUCAGGAGAGAGCUACACAGUGAGUAUAUUAAAAUUCAUGGUGGAUUUUAAGCCAUCGCUUUGAAUGAAAAGCAUCUUUCCAAUUUAGCCUUGGAUAGCUGCUUCUUCUUGGAGUACUUGUUCCCAAUGAAUAAUUCAAGAAAAGUAUUAACGAGAUUCACUGUUGUAAUUCCUUAGAAUAUAAAAAAGGGACUCUAAUAAUGGCCUUGUCGGGUCAUCUCCAAUGAAGCUAUACAAAGAGCUUUAGGUAAAAGCGCAAUAAGCACAGAGGUUCUGGCAGCAACAGUUUCCAAAUGGUAAGGCAAACUGCAUGCCAUCAAGAUGACAAUGGCCAGGGUCUUGACUCUCUCGGCCAAAGGCCUUCAAAUGGCCCCUUGGGUCCCUCAAUACACAAAUGAAUAAGGUAAGAAAAAGAGUCAAGACUAUAAACUAUAAAAUCUUCAUGGUUCACAAAUACCUUCCUCUGGUCUCUCCUACUGGCAGCAGCCUCCCUGGAAAGCAUGUUACUCCUUGAAAAGCUAUGGCAAGAACUCAGAAUCACCUGCCCUGUCUAACUACAACAGCAAUGAGAGCCUUGAAAGACCUCGUGUUCCAUUUUCCUUUCAUGGAUGCUGUGAAUUAAACAGACUGUCUGCAUCAGAAAUUGUGUUAAGGGUUACUUGGCAACAUAACAGCAUUGAGAGGUUCUGGGGCCUUUAAGAGGCGAUUGUUUCCUUAAGACAUAGAAAUGCCUUUCCCCUGCAACUGGGUUGGCUUAGGGCAGAGCGUGUUGCUGUGACUUGAGCCUAGUGCCUCCCCUCUUCCUACACCUGCCUCCCUUCCCCUCUUCACCCUGAGUUAUCUCACCUCAUAAAACGCUUACCAAAAGCUGGUCAGACUCUUAGACUAUGAACUAAAUAAACCUCUACAGCAAUAGGAGACACGUCAAAGGAAUGGGUGUGGAGAGGAUGCUUUUAGUGAAAAGGAACCAAGCAGUCUGGCUUUCUCCAUCAUCAGGCAUGCAAACAAGCCAAACUGACUGCAAAGAGGUGAGCUAGAUAUGAUCCUAGGUAGCUACUACACACGCCAGCUCAGUAAGAGGUCUUUGAAGAUGCAAAAGUGUUCCUUCAGAGAAUCAGGCAUAGUCACCAUCUAAUAUAAUCCAAGCCUGGGCACCAGAGUGAGGAUCUCGGCACCCAAUAAGAAGUGAGGGCAUGGACCUGCACAUCCCUGAAACCGCAGAACAGAGGGGUCGGGGAGGACAAAAGUUCCAGAUUCAGGGAGAGACCCUGCCUUAAAGGAAUAAGGCAGAGAAUGAUAGAGGAAGACACUAAACAGCCUCUGCUGGCCUCCACAUGCAAGGUGCACAUAUGCAUGUAUGUGUACCACACUCAUAUACAUACACACACAAACAUGAAAAGCCUGUGGUCUGCUACGAUUCUGCUCACCUUCAUCUUCAUUACACUAAGCACUUUUAUUUGGUUGGUUGAUUUUUGGGGUUUUUUUUGGUUUGGUUUGGUGUUUUUUUUUUCGAGACAGGUUCACUCUACAGAGCCCUGGAACUCACUCUGAAUACCAGGUUGGCCUUGAACUCACAGAGAUCUGCCUGCCUCUGCCCCCUGAGUGCUGGGAUCAAAGCAUCACAACCAGUUUGAACCAAGCACAUCUUUACAGUUAAGAGUUGCUUUAUAAAAACCUAAUAACUUGAAGCUCCCUAUCAGACCCAUCAGCUUUUUUCCUCUGGCUUUGUAGGUACACUUACUGAUGACAAUGACCCCCCCAGUCAUAAGCUGAGUGGUUCCAACCUCCCAUUGUCAACACGCUGUUAGAGCAGGCUGGAGAGAUACAGUC